ACCAACGAAGUUUGUUCUCAUCUGUCAGGCUAGUGUGUUUUUGUUUCCAUUUACCCUGGAUUUGACAAUGUCACAAUACACAGUAUGUACACAUGUUGACUUCUGUUUCUGUCCAGACCAGUCCACAAUCAGUAUUUUGAAAUGCAUUUGUUAUGUUAUAAGAACAGGGAUCUGUGACUAGGUAAAAUGAUCUCAGUUCCCUUGCAUUUAUUUGUAAUCUUGCAGUACAAAAUGAAUAUGUUAUGUGACUGUCUGACAUUGUUUUUUCUUUGGAAUGUUUUAGGUGAAAAACCAGGAAGCUGCAUUCAUAAAUGGAUGAUUAGUUUUGAGGGGCAAAUAAUCUGUGAGGGCAUCCAGCCAAGUUUCCUGUCUGGACUUGCUGCUGUGUUUUUGACUUUCUACAUUUUCAAUGUUGGAGUAUCAAGCUGAGGCUGCAUCCAGGUUGGAAUUUAUUCAGAGGUGGUUCAUUGGCAUAAAUCCUGAAAAAGGUACCAAGGGUGGACAAGUCCUAUCAAAGCGGACAGGGAAGGUCGCUCACAAAAAGAAAUCAUGCAACACUCUGGUUGCCAGUCUCCUUAAGAAGCUAAUGGACUUUGAAUGGGACUUCAUAUAAGUGAACCCACUCAUUCACUAACAUACCACACACCUUACACAUACACUUCACACACAACAAAAACAUGCUUUUAGUGUGAAAGUCGCACAAUUUUUUCAGGUGUUCAUUCUUGAAUACCUAAAUUUUGACUUCAUUCUUCAUUGAAUUCUUUCUUCAUUCAGUAAUUCUUAUUUACUAAUGAUUCACUAAUUCAUAUUCACUCAGUAUUUCUCUGAGUCACUCAUUUAUUUGUUUCUAAUAAUAUAUUAGUUUUGUUUAUUCAGUGAAACAAAAAUCAGCCACUAAUUUUGAGAAUAUUUUGUGAUUAGAGUGGCUUUUGUUUUUCAAAGUUUUAAUAAAGCACAUUUUGAAGUUACACUGCAUUGUGUUCAAUUUUUAAUGUUUCAAAAGCUAUAUUUGUACGUUGUAUUAAAACAUGUUUUUUUCUUAAGUCCAUUUCUCAGUAUAAUAACAACAUAUUUGUAGUUUACAGUUAAAAAAGUGCAAAUAAACAUUAAUUAACUGUUAAUGCUUUUGACAGUAAUUUACUGUUAAUGUAGAAAAUAACAGCUUUAUGCUGUAUUUAUAAAAACAGUAACAAACUGUAAAUUUCAACAAGACAAGACACUGUUAUUUUAACAGUAACUUGCUGGCAACCGUGCUGACAGUUACUUACUGUUUUUUAACAGGACAAUUUUUAACAGUGUGCUAUAAAUAAAUA